rnacentral:lncRNA from 1 species
CGGAAAAACCACCUUAAUUGGGGCGGAGGGUUAGUUUUAAGAGCAAAGGGCCUUUACUAAAAUGGCGAAGGCCUUCCGUCGGCGUUGUUUUAAAAUGGGAAGCCUCGACCCUGUAUUGAAACUGAGCUGUUCGAAGGCGGCGUUGUGUGCAAUUCGGAUUAAUGAAGGGGAAGGGUUUUGUGUGGAAAAACGCCUUGGAGUGUGACAUUUCUGCGAGAAUGCUUAAAUACCGAUUUCCCGCAGGAACAAUGGCGCUGUCUUCAGUGGCACAGUGGAGCAGCUCUGAAGAUGCAAAGUUAGUUGAAUCCAUGGACAUGAAACCCACAGAUAUAGAGGGUUGGCCCAGUGCAGUGGCUCACGCCUGUAAUCCCAGCACUUUGGGAGGCCAAGGCGGGUGGAUCACCUGAGGUCAGAAGCUUGAGACAAGCCUGGCCAACAUGGUAAAACCCCAUCUCUACUAAUAAUACAAAACAAUUUGCUGGGCAUGGUGGUGCACGCUUGUAAUCCAAGCUACUCCAGAGGCUGAGGCAGAAGAAUCGCUUGAAUCCGAGAGGCAAAGGUUGCAGUAAGCCCAGAUCACACCACUGCUCUCCAACCUGGGCAACAAGAGCAAAACUCCGUCAAAAAAAAAAAGAUAGAGGGUCAACUGUACACAUUAAACACUUCUAUCAAC